GACAGAGGUGCCAAGCGUUAGGCGGAAUCACUGGGCUUAAAGCGUGUGUAGGUGGAUCGUUAAGUACCUUGUGAAAUCCCACGGCUUAACCGUGGAACUGCUCGGUAUACUGGCGGUCUUGAGCCAACUAGGGGCUAUCGGAACAAGUGGUGGAGCGGUGAAAUGCGUAGAUAUCGGGAGGAACACCUGUGGCGAAAGCGGCGCACUGGACCACAUCUGACGCUGAGGCGCGAAAGCUAGGGGAGCAAACAGG
rnacentral:rRNA from 1 species